GUGAGUCAUCGAAUCUUUGAACGCAUAUUGCGCCCCUUGGUAUUCCGAGGGGCAUGCCUGUUCGAGCGUCAUUACAACCCUCAAGCAUUGCUUGGUAUUGGGCUCCGCUGCUCACCCAGCGGGCCUUAAAAUCAGUGGCGGUGCCGUCGGGCCCUGAGCGUAGUAAAUAUCCUCGCUACAGGGUCCCGGUGGACGCUGGCCAUCAACCCCCACUUUCUAAGUUUGACCUCGGAUCAGGUAGGGAUACCCGCUGAACUUAAGCAUAUCAAUAAGCGGAGGA
rnacentral:misc_RNA from 1 species